ensembl:lncRNA novel transcript
AUUCCAUCACAGCACACCGUCCAGACAGAUGCAUGUAGUUUCUGAAGAACUGAGAGGCUUUUCUAGAAGCCUAAGCAGACAUUUCCUUGAGCUUCAUCAGCUGUAUUGAACAUGACCAUCCCUAAACAAAUAACUGGUAUCUAGGAAAUGAAGUUGGAGCUGAGGGUAGCUGUCCCCAAAGAAAAUCAAGAAAAGGAAUGAAUCUGGGGCAGUGGAAACAAUGUCUAUCAAAUCUUCCUACCUGUGUACAUUUACCCUGUUUUCCACAAUUCCCUGCUCUACCUGAGAAACCCUUGCUCAUCUAAACUGAUGUAAUUUUGCUGUUUUUAACUCAGGGGACCACUUUCACUAGGUUAUCUCAUCUACUGCCAAGGUCUUAAAUACCAUCCAGGUGACAUGCCUCUUUAAAGAAAUCCUUUCAGUCCAGACCUUUCUCCUGAAUGUAAAAAAAGAUGUUCUCAACCAUCUACUAGAUAUCCACAUUUGUUUUUCUCAAAAGCAUUUCAAACUAUUGUGGGGUUUUGUUUGUUUGUUUUCUUUUUGAGACAGAGUCUCACUCUUGCUGGAGUGCAGUGGCACGAUUUUGGCUCACUGCAGCCUCAGCCUCCUGGGCUCAAGUGAUCCUCCCACCUCAGCCUCCCGAGUAGCUGGGACUACAGGCAUGUGCCACCAUGCCAGCUUAAUUUUUUGGUUGAGACAAGAUUUCACCAUGUUUUCUAAGCUGGCCUUGAACUCCUGGGCUCAAACAGUCUGCCUGCCUUGGCCUCCCCAAGUGUUGGGAUUACAGGCGUCAGCCACCACAUCCAGCCACCAAAGUAUUCUUUUUAAAAAAGAAGCCUUAUAUUUUAGAGGUAGAUGGUAAAAUCUUUACAGAAGAAAUGAUAUGAUAUUUGGGAUUUGCUUCAGAAUAUUUCAGUGGAAGGAGAGCGAGUAGUGUCAGGAUGGCUAAACCAUUAGAUGAAUUGUUGAAGCUGAAGGGUCUUGCUCUGUUGCCUAGGCUGGAGUGCAGUGGUACAAUCAUGGCUUGACCUCCUGGGCUCAAGUGAUCCUCCCACCUCAGCCUCUCAAGUAGCUGGGACUACAGGUGGACACCACCAUGCCAGAGAUGGGGUCUCGCCAUGUUGCCCAGACUGGUCUCCAAUUCCUUGGCUCAAGCGAUCCUCCUGCCUCAGUCUCCCAAAGUGCUGGCAUUACAGGUGGGAGCCACGGCACCCAGCUGAGGAAGUGACAGAGUUGGAUCUGAAACCAGUAUCUAUCACAUGGAAUCUUAUCACACCACUUCUCACCACAUCAUGAUGGAAUCUUACUUACAUUUGUUUCCCUCAGCACUGCCUCCUAAAAUGGCCCCCACAGAGCAGCACAUUAAAAAUAUUUGUUGAAUAG